CUUUACUGUAGCCUGGUAUUGGGUUCGGGCUUUGACUGCGCAGGAUAGGUGGGAGACUGAGAAGUGUGCCUUGUGGGGCACAUAGAGUCAACGGUGAGAUACCACUCUGUCAGAGCUAGAAUUCUAACCUUCACCCGUGAUCCGGGGAAGGAACCGUAUCAGGUGGGCAGUUUGACUGGGGCGGUCGCCUCCUAAAAGGUAACGGAGGCGCGCAAAGGUGUUCUCAGGCUGGUUGGAAAUCAGCCGUAGAGUGUAAAAGCAGAAGGAAGCUUGACUGUGAGACUGACAAGUCAAACAGGGACGAAAGUCGGCUUUAGUGAUCCGACGGCACUGAGUGGAAUCGCCGUCGCUAAACGGAUAAAAGUUA
rnacentral:rRNA from 1 species